rnacentral:tRNA from 1 species
GGAGAUAUGGCUCAGUGGUAAAGCACCUGAUUAGCAAUCAAGCCAUUGUUCAAACCCAAGUAUCACCC